CUUUUUUCUUCCCGCGUUGACUUUUUGUUAACGGACUUUUGUAUUGAUCGCGUUUACUGCAUUGCAGCAGAAAGACUCUACAGUAAGUAUUUAAUACGAUUUUAGUGUUCAAGCUGUGUUUUUAACUCAGUUUUAGCUUGAGGAUUUGUAAUUUUCAGAUAAAUACUGUAUUAUAUCAAGAUAGCAAGCCAGCAUUUCUCAGUCCAACUUUGGAAAGUCAGCAGUUGGGUCCUAACGACCUACAAACCUUAUACAAUAGCAUGACAGUUCAGUUGAGGAAAGACUCGUGUAGAACGAAAACUUUCCAGUAUGAGGCGUGGUGAUGCGUCACUGGCUUGAUGGCCGACGGGUUUUAGGGGAGGAUAUCACCCUUACCUUUUAAGGCUCGAUGUAUAAUCACCACAGCUGCAUAAUAACAACAGGAAAGGGUAGGUUCAUGUGUGGCACUAAAUUGGCUGCAGGAAACAGAUGGACAAACAGCAUAUGUUAUUUAAGUUGUAUUUUCAAGCUAACAUUGUUUGUCACAAUCAAAAUAAUUUGAUGCAGUUUUUAAAAUAGCCUGUCCCAUACUAUCGUUUGGAUCCAGAAACUGUUUCGUGAAUUCUCUCAAGGCAAUGCAAACCCGUCGUUCCUUAAUAUCACGUCGGAGCACGCAAUGUAACCAUUGAUAACGAGCAGAACCAUAAAUAACAACCAAAGAUCUUGCCGGUUGAGGAAUCCUCACACAAAUAUCAGGAAUGUCUUCUGCUUUGGGUAGCUCAACAUCAACUUCUUGCAAAUUAUAUUUAUCAUCGCCCCCAUGAUACUUCGUCAUCGUAAGAAAGCUGUCGCCGGCUAAAUUGAGGGUUACGAUACGCUCGCCCCUACAAUGAAACGUAAAGCAAUUUUUGUUUACAACGAACACAAAUAAAAAGUUAAGUUACAAAAUGA